rnacentral:rRNA from 1 species
UACGUAGGGAGCAAGCGUUGUCCGGAAUCAUUGGGCGUAAAGCGCGCGUAGGUGGCUUCGUAAGUCCGUUGUGAAAGUCAAAGGCUCAACCUUUGAAAGCCGAUGGAUACUGCGGAGCUAGAGUACGGAAGAGGCGAGUGGAAUUCCUGGUGUAGCGGUGGAAUGCGCAGAUAUCAGGAGGAACACCGAUGGCGAAGGCAGAUCUCUGGGCCGUAACUGACGCUGAGGAGCGAAAGCAUGGGGAGCGAACAGG